rfam:Triticum aestivum genome assembly, contig: Triticum_aestivum_CS42_TGACv1_scaffold_194053_3AL
GUGCUACUCCCUUCGUUCGGAAUUACUUGUCGCAGAAAUGGAUGUAUCUAGAUGUAUUUUAGUUCUAGAUACAUCCAUUUCUGAGACAAGUAAUUCCGAACGAAGGGAGUACAUA